CAGAGGCUGUGACUUUAGCAAAAGUUUGACAUCUUUGAUCACAGUAGGCUGUAAAUAAAAGCGUUAAUUUUGCAAAAACAUUUGAAGAUUGCCGAAACACUGCGAUUUAAUCAUAUAAUUAAGAUUUGCGAUUUUUCAUUCUAAAUUUAUCUUCGACCCUGCUACCACGGAAUAUCAACGCCACCUCCAGUCAGGCACCACACCAGCAUAUCCACCACCUUCAACGCCGCCACCAAUAAACAGCGCUGCAUACAUUAUUCGGUAAGUUUUCAUGCGACGAAUAAACGUUGCUUCUGCUGCAACUGCCUACAUUAAUCAUGUUCCUGGUGCUUCCCGAUUUGCACAUUUCACAAGAAAAGCUGUUUUUGCAAUUAAUAAACCUUAUGGCGUACAGAAACAGCUUCCUCUAAAAACCUGCGAAGCGUGAAGUACCUGGAACAGGCUUAUUUAGUGCGUUCCAGAACGUCUACGAUUUGCAGGUUUUGCAGGAUUUAGUCCAAAGUCGUUCCCGUACGCCACGUUCACAUAAGGCUUAUUAAAGGCAAAAACAGCUGUUCCGGUAAAACCUGCAAAUCCUGCAAAUCGUGAAGUACGGGAACCGGCUAAUUAUGUGCAAAUGUAAACAACAAAAGAAAGUGCAGUGCUACAUAUGUAAAAAGUGUAGUAGGACUGGUGAAUGCGGUCAUUCUGGAAGCCAUAGU